rnacentral:rRNA from 1 species
UUCUGCUCAAUGGUACGUUAAAUAGCCGCAGUACUCUGACUGUGCAAAGGUAGCAUAAUCAAUUGGCUUUUAAUUAAAGUCUGGGAUGAAAGAAAGCAUGGGUGGCAACUGUCUUACUGUUAUAUUAAAUUGAAGUUAGUAAGCAAGUGAAAAUACUUGCAAUUUAAAAAAGACGAGAAGACCCUAGAAACUUAUGUAAUUAUUUUGUUGGGGCGACAGAAUUACAAAUAACUAAUUUUAUUGUACAUGACGUUAUCAGAUAGAUUAAGUUACUCUAGGGAUAACAGCAUAAUUUUUAAAGUUUGUGACCUCGAUGUUGGACUAGGUAAAUAAUUUUUUAGAAGAAAGUUUAAACGCUCUGUUCGAGCAAUGAAACCUACGUGAUCUGAGUUCAGACCGGA